AGAAACUUCAGUUAUAUUAUAGGUAAUAAAAAGUCAUAAAAUUGUGGUAAGGUAUAGCUCAGUGGAUGAGCAAUUGCCCAGCAUGUGCAAGGUGCUGAGUUUCCUGCUCAAUACCAUAAAAAACAAGAGUAAUAAAAUGUAAUGUUUACAUUACCCACAGUAUUUCUCAGUAAAAUACUUCUUUAAAGUAUCAAAAUACUUCAAAGAAAUUUUUAAGACUAAAAUAAACAGGGACUGGGAAUGUGAUUUAGUGGUACAGUACUUGCCAAGCAUACAUGAAGCCCCAGGUUCAAUUCCUCAGUACCACAAAACCAAAAUAAAAUAAACAGAAACCAUAAGCAAAACCUUUGAACAUAAAGCAAAAAGAACAACCAAAUUAUGAUUGGUAAGUCUUAGGCUUCUAUCCCAGUACAACAAAUUGAAAAUUGUAUGUAGCAUAUAAAAAUUCCCUUCUAAUGCUCAGCUGAAAAGAAACAUAAGAAAGAACUAAUCUACCCACAGAAACAAGGGCCAGAGCCAGGGGUGUCUGACAGGCCCUGGUCACUUAGGACAGAGAACAGCAUCUUCCUGCCAUAUACCAGAGAGGAAAUUACCUUAGGCUUUGCAUGUCUCAAAGA